ACGGGAGGCAGCAGUGGGGAAUCUUGCGCAAUGGGCGACAGCCUGACGCAGCAACGCCGCGUGGGGGAAGACGGCCUUCGGGUUGUAAACCCCUUUCAGGAGGGACGAAGCUUCGGCAGCGAAUAGCUGUCCGGAGUGACGGUACCUCACUAAGAAGCCCCGGCUAACUACGUGCCAGCAGCCGCGGUAAUACGUAGGGGGCUAGCGUUGUCCGGAAUCAUUGGGCGUAAAGCGCGCGUAGGCGGCCAGACAAGUCCGGUGUGAAAGUCACAGGCUCAACCUGUGAAUGCCGCUGGAAACUGUCUGGCUAGAGUCCGGAAGGGGCGAGUGGAAUUCCUGGUGUAGCGGUGAAAUGCGCAGAUAUCAGGAGGAACACCUAUGGCGAAGGCAGCUCGCUGGGACGGUACUGACGCUGAGGCGCGAAAGCGUGGGGAGCGAACAGGAUUAGAUACCCUGGUA
rnacentral:rRNA from 1 species